UACGUAGGCAGCAAGCGUUGUUCGGAGUUACUGGGCGUAAAAGGGUGUGUAGGCGGUUCUUUAAGUUUGGUGUGAAAUCUCCCGGCUCAACUGGGAGGGUGCGCCGAAUACUGAGGGACUAGAGUACGGGAGAGGAAAGUGGAAUUCCUGGUGUAGCGGUGAAAUGCGUAGAUAUCGUAAGGAAGACCAGGUGGCGAAGGCGGGUCGUCUGGACAGUUCCGUGACGCUG
rnacentral:rRNA from 1 species